AAUAUCAGGAGGACGCAUUCG
rnacentral:miRNA from 1 species